rnacentral:rRNA from 1 species
UGCAUGGCGCAGCUACCAUGCAGUCGAGCGGAACGAGUUAUCUGAACCUUCGGGGAACGAUAACGGCGUCGAGCGGCGGACGGGUGAGUAAUGCCUAGGAAAUUGCCCUGAUGUGGGGGAUAACCAUUGGAAACGAUGGCUAAUACCGCAUGAUGCCUACGGGCCAAAGAGGGGGACCUUCGGGCCUCUCGCGUCAGGAUAUGCCUAGGUGGGAUUAGCUAGUUGGUGAGGUAAGGGCUCACCAAGGCGACGAUCCCUAGCUGGUCUGAGAGGAUGAUCAGCCACACUGGAACUGAGACACGGUCCAGACUCCUACGGGAGGCAGCAGUGGGGAAUAUUGCACAAUGGGCGCAAGCCUGAUGCAGCCAUGCCGCGUGUGUGAAGAAGGCCUUCGGGUUGUAAAGCACUUUCAGUCGUGAGGAAGGUGGUGGUGUUAAUAGCAGUAUCAUUUGACGUUAGCGACAGAAGAAGCACCGGCUAACUCCGUGCCAGCAGCCGCGGUAAUACGGAGGGUGCGAGCGUUAAUCGGAAUUACUGGGCGUAAAGCGCAUGCAGGUGGUUUGUUAAGUCAGAUGUGAAAGCCCGGGGCUCAACCUCGGAAUUGCAUUUGAAACUGGCAGACUAGAGUACUGUAGAGGGGGGUAGAAUUUCAGGUGUAGCGGUGAAAUGCGUAGAGAUCUGAAGGAAUACCGGUGGCGAAGGCGGCCCCCUGGACAGAUACUGACACUCAGAUGCGAAAGCGUGGGGAGCAAACAGGAUUAGAUACCCUGGUAGUCCACGCCGUAAACGAUGUCUACUUGGGAGGUUGUGGCCUUGAGCCGUGGCUUUCGGAGCUAACGCGUUAAGUAGACCGCCUGGGGGAGUACGGUCGCAAGAUUAAAACUCAAAUGAAUUGACGGGGGCCCGCCACAAGCGGUGGGAGCAUGGUGGUUUAAUUCGAUGCAACGCGAAGAACCUUACCUACUCUUGACAUCCAGAAGAACUUUCCAGGAGAUGGAUUGGGUGCCUUCGGGACUCUGAGACAGGUGCUGCAUGGCUGUCGUCAGCUCGUGUUGGUGAAUGUUUGGGUUAAGUCCCGCACGAGCGCAACCGUUAUCCUUUGUUUGCAGCCGAGUUAUUGGUCAGGUACCUCCAUGGGAAGACUUGCCGGGUGGAAUAAACUGGAAGGAAAGGGUUGGGGACCAAACGCUUCAGGUCCUAUUCACAUGUGGUCCCCCCUA